GUUCCUGUAGUUAAAACUCAAUAGCGACGGCUUUUCAGGCCGUAGGUCUCGGGUAAGGGCCGGGCGGGAACU
rnacentral:tRNA from 1 species